UACGAAGGGUGCGAGCGUUGUUCGGAAUUAUUGGGCGUAAAGGGUUCGUAGGCGGGAAUAUAAGUUGAGUGUGAAAACCCCGGGCUUAACCUGGGACGUGCACUCAAAACUGUAUUUCUUGAGUGUUGGAGAGGGUGGUGGAAUUGCUGGUGUAGGAGUGACAUCCGUAGAGAUCAGCAGGAACGCCAGAGGCGAAAGCGACCACCUGGCCAAACACUGACGCUGAGGAACGAAAGCGUGGGGAGCAAACAGG
rnacentral:rRNA from 1 species